rnacentral:rRNA from 1 species
UACGUAGGUGACAAGCGUUGUUCGGAAUUACUGGGCGUAAAGGGCGCGUAGGCGGUUUGCUAAGUUGAAUGUGAAAACUCUGGGCUUAACCCAGAGCCUGCAUUCAAUACUGGCAGGCUAGAGUUCUGGAGGGGAUAGCGGAAUUCCUGGUGUAGCGGUGAAAUGCGUAGAUAUCAGGAGGAACACCGGUGGCGAAGGCGGCUAUCUGGACAGAGUCUGACGCUGAGGCGCGAAAGCUAGGGGAGCAAACAGG